GACGAACGCUAGCGGCAGGCUUAAUACAUGCAAGUCGAGGGGCAGCAUGACUGUAGCAAUACAGUUGAUGGCGACCGGCAAACGGGUGCGGAACACGUACAGAACCUUCCUUCGAGCGGGGAAUAGCCCAGAGAAAUUUGGAUUAAUACCCCAUAGUACAACGGAGUGGCAUCACUUUGUUGUUAAAGAUUUAUCACUUGAAGAUGGCUGUGCGGCUGAUUAGGUAGUUGGCGGGGUAACGGCCCACCAAGCCUGCGAUCAGUAACUGGUGUGAGAGCACGACCAGUCACACGGGCACUGAGACACGGGCCCGACUCCUACGGGAGGCAGCAGUAAGGAAUAUUGGUCAAUGGGCGAAAGUCUGAACCAGCCAUGCCGCGUGGAGGACGAAGGUCCUCUGGAUUGUAAACUUCUUUUAUAUGGGACGAAAAAAGGGUUUUCUAACUCGUCUGACGGUACCAUAUGAAUAAGCACCGGCUAACUCCGUGCCAGCCGCCGCGGUAACAC
rnacentral:rRNA from 1 species